rnacentral:rRNA from 1 species
CCUACGGGAGGCAGCAGUGGGGAAUUUUGGACAAUGGGCGCAAGCCUGAUCCAGCAAUGCCGCGUGAGUGAAGAAGGCCUUCGGGUUGUAAAGCUCUUUUGUCAGGGAAGAAACGGUGGAGGCUAAUAUCCUUUGCUAAUGACGGUACCUGAAGAAUAAGCACCGGCUAACUACGUGCCAGCAGCCGCGGUAAUACGUAGGGUGCAAGCGUUAAUCGGAAUUACUGGGCGUAAAGCGUGCGCAGGCGGUUUUGUAAGUUUGUCGUGAAAUCCCCGGGCUCAACCUGGGAAUGGCGAUGAAGACUGCAAGGCUAGAAUCUGGCAGAGGGGGGUAGAAUUCCACGUGUAGCAGUGAAAUGCGUAGAGAUGUGGAGGAACACCGAUGGCGAAGGCAGCCCCCUGGGUCAAGAUUGACGCUCAUGCACGAAAGCGUGGGGAGCAAACAGGAUUAGAUACCCUGGUAGUCCACGCCCUAAACGAUGUCUACUAGUUGUCGGGUUUUAAUUAACUUGGUAACGCAGCUAACGCGUGAAGUAGACCGCCUGGGGAGUACGGUCGCAAGNUUAAAACNCAAAUGAAAUUGACGG